GUGCCAGCAGCCGCGGUAAUCAGAGGGUGGAAGCGAUAAUCGGAUUUACUCCCGUAAAGCGCGCGUAGGUGGCCAAUUAAGUCAAAUGUGAAAUGGCCGAGCUUAACUUGGGAAUUGCAUUCGAUACUGGUUGGCUAGAGUAUGGGAGAGGAUGGUAGAAUUCCAGGUGUAGCGGUGAAAUGCGUAGAGAUCUGGAGGAAUACCGAUGGCGACGGCAGCCUUCUGGCCUAAUACUGACCCUGAGGUGCGAAAGCAUGGAGAGCAAACAGGAGUAGAUACCCCUGGAGGGC
rnacentral:rRNA from 1 species